rnacentral:rRNA from 1 species
UACGAAGGGGGCGAGCGUUGUUCGGAAUUACUGGGCGUAAAGGGUCUGUAGGUGGCUUGCUAAGUCAGACGUGAAAUCCCUCAGCUUAACUGGGGAACUGCGUCUGAUACUGGCAAGCUUGAGUGCAGGAGAGGAACGCGGAAUUCCAGGUGUAGCGGUGAAAUGCGUAGAUAUCUGGAGGAACACCGGUGGCGAAGGCGGCGUUCUGGACUGCAACUGACACUGAGAGACGAAAGCCAGGGGAGCAAACGGG